UGACCUCAAAUCGGGUGAGACUACCCGCU
rnacentral:rRNA from 1 species